AUUUCUUCAAGGCUGAGUGAUUUGCAACAAGUCAUUUCCAUUUUCUGAGCUUCACUUGCUUCUGUAAAGUAGGAAUCAUCAUCAUCAUCUAUUCUCCCUCACUGGUGUUCUGAGAAUCAACAGUUCUCCAAAUCUGCAAACUGAAGAACCUUUCUACCCUGGGGAAGCCUGUCUGUGUGUGUGGAUUUUGCCCAUUCUAAGGGCUGUUGGAUAAAUGAGUUAAUUAAUGAAUGAAUGAUGAUGAUCAAAUGAACAAAAGAACAAACAUCAUCUCCGCACAUUGCUGUGAGAAACGAGUGACCGUCCUGUGUAGUUAUUUACAUGAGCACCCUGAUGGCCAUGGAAACUGGUGAUCAAGUGAAAAAAGAGAUGAAAAACCUGGGUCUCAAGAAGGUAAAUGUUGAUGGAUCAUUUUCUUUUCAGGUGGAGAACCUUUUGUCUUUAGAAAAAUCUUUGUGACUCUAACCAAUAUCAAAACAUGGGGUGCUCCAGAGCCACUGAAAGUAUGUCCGGGUCCCAGCUCUACACUAGACUUGUGACCUUGGGCUAGUUCCUUAACCUCUCUCGGCCACAAAAUAAAAUUUUCAACUUAACAGGGUGAUGGCAAGAAUUAAAUAAGAUCAGAGGCACCUGGCUGGCUCAGUCAGUUAAGCAGUGGACUCUUGAUUUUGGUUCCGGUUACGACCUCAGGGUUGGAAAUUGAGCCCCAUAUUGGGGGCAUGAAGCCUACUUAAGAUUCUCUCUCUCCUUCUCCCUCUGCCCCUGCUCUGGGCUCUCUCUCUCUCUCUCUGAGAAGGAGAAGAAGAAGAAAAGAA